rnacentral:rRNA from 1 species
UUGCUUCUCUUGAGAGCGGCGGACGGGUGAGUAAUGCCUAGGAAUCUGCCUAGUGGUGGGGGAUAACGUUCGGAAACGGACGCUAAUACCGCAUACGUCCUACGGGAGAAAGCGGGGGAUCUUCGGACCUCGCGCCAUUAGAUGAGCCUAGGUCGGAUUAGCUAGUUGGUGAGGUAAUGGCUCACCAAGGCGACGAUCCGUAACUGGUCUGAGAGGAUGAUCAGUCACACUGGAACUGAGACACGGUCCAGACUCCUACGGGAGGCAGCAGUGGGGAAUAUUGGACAAUGGGCGAAAGCCUGAUCCAGCCAUGCCGCGUGUGUGAAGAAGGUCUUCGGAUUGUAAAGCACUUUAAGUUGGGAGGAAGGGUAGUAACUUAAUACGUUGCUACUUUGACGUUACCGACAGAAUAAGCACCAGCUAACUUCGUGCCAGCAGCCGCGGUAAUACGAAGGGUGCAAGCGUUAAUCGGAAUUACUGGGCGUAAAGCGCGCGUAGGUGGUUCAGUAAGUUGGAAGUGAAAUCCCCGGGCUCAACCUGGGAACUGCUUUCAAAACUGCUGAGCUAGAGUACGGUAGAGGGUGGUGGAAUUUCCUGUGUAGCGGUGAAAUGCGUAGAUAUAGGAAGGAACACCAGUGGCGAAGGCGACCACCUGGACUGAUACUGACACUGAGGUGCGAAAGCGUGGGGAGCAAACAGGAUUAGAUACCCUGGUAGUCCACGCCGUAAACGAUGUCAACUAGCCGUUGGAAUCCUUGAGAUUUUAGUGGCGCAGCUAACGCAUUAAGUUGACCGCCUGG